rnacentral:rRNA from 1 species
CAGCCGCCGCGGUAAUACGAAGGGUGCAAGCGUUACUCGGAAUUACUGGGCGUAAAGCGUGCGUAGGUGGUGGUUUAAGUCCGUUGUGAAAGCCCUGGGCUCAACCUGGGAAUUGCAGUGGAUACUGGGUCCCUAGAGUGUGGUAGAGGAUAGUGGAAUUUCCGGUGUAGCAGUGAAAUGCGUAGAGAUCGGAAGGAACAUCUGUGGCGAAGGCGACUAUCUGGGCCAACACUGACACUGAGGCACGAAAGCGUGGGGAGCAAACAGGAUUAGAUACCCCAGUAGUCCCUGUCUCUUAUAC